rnacentral:rRNA from 1 species
GAUGAACGCUGGCGGCGUGCCUAAUACAUGCAAGUCGAACGAAACUUCUUUAUCACCGAGUGCUUGCACUCACCGAUAAAGAGUUGAGUGGCGAACGGGUGAGUAACACGUGGGCAACCUGCCCAAAAGAGGGGGAUAACACUUGGAAACAGGUGCUAAUACCGCAUAACCAUAGUUACCGCAUGGUAACUAUGUAAAAGGUGGCUAUACUACCGCUUUUGGAUGGGCCCGCGGCGCAUUAGCUAGUUGGUAGGGUAAAGGCUUGCCAAGGCAAUGAUGCGUAGCCGAAUUGAGAGGUUGAUCGGCCACAUUGGGACUGAGACACGGCCCAAACUCCUACGGGAGGCAGCAGUAGGGAAUCUUCCACAAUGGGCGAAAGCCUGAUGGAGCAACGCCGCGUGGGUGAAGAAGGUCUUCGGAUCGUAAAACCCUGUUGUUAGAGAAGAAAGUGCAUGAGAGUAACUGUUCACGUUUCGACGGUAUCUAACCAGAAAGCCACUGCUAACUACGUG